rnacentral:rRNA from 1 species
GACGAACGCUGGCGGCGUGCCUAAUACAUGCAAGUCGAACGCAGUGGGGACGGGUGAGUAACACGUGGGUAACCUCCCAUCAGAGGGGAUAACACUUGGAAACAGGUGCUAAACCGAUACUGAUGGAUGGACCCGGGGUGCAGUAGCUAGUUGGUGGGGUAACGGCGCACCAAGGCCACGAUGCAUAGCCGACCUGAGAGGAGGACCGGCCACACUGGGACUGAGACACGGCCCAGACUCCUACGGGAGGCAGCAGUAGGGAAUCUUCGGCAAUGGACGCAAGUCUGACCGAGCAACGCCGCGUGUGUGAAGAAGGUUUUCGGAUCGUAAAACUCUGUUGUUAGAGAAGCGGUAUCUAACCAGAAAGCCACGGCUAACUACGUGCCAGCAGCCGCGGUAAUUC